rnacentral:rRNA from 1 species
UGAGCAGCUAGAUCGCGAGAUCAUGCUAAUCUCAAAAAGCCGUCUCAGUUCGGAUUGUUCUCUGCAACUCGAGAGCAUGAAGGCGGAAUCGCUAGUAAUCGCGGAUCAGCAUGCCGCGGUGAAUACGUUCCCAGGCCUUGUACACACCGCCCGUCACACCAUGGGAGUUGGAUUCACCCGAAGGCGCUGCGCUAACCCGCAAGGGAGGCAGGCGACCACGGUGGGUUCAGCGACUGGGGUGAAGUCGUAACAAGGUAGCCGUAGGGGAACCUGCGGCUGGAUCACCUCCUUUCUAAG